CCUACGGGAGACAGCAGUGAGGAAUAUUGGUCAAUGGACGAGAGUCUGAACCAGCCAAGUAGCGUGAAGGAUGACCGCCCUAUGGGUUGUAAACUUCUUUUAUAUGGGAAUAAAACGUUCCACGUGUGGGAUUUUGUAUGUACCAUAUGAAUAAGGAUCGGCUAACUCCGUGCCAGCAGCCGCGGUAAUACGGAGGAUCCGAGCGUUAUCCGGAUUUAUUGGGUUUAAAGGGAGCGUAGGUGGAUUGUUAAGUCAGUUGUGAAAGUUUGCGGCUCAACCGUAAAAUUGCAGUUGAAACUGGCAGUCUUGAGUACAGUAGAGGUGGGCGGAAUUCGUGGUGUAGCGGUGAAAUGCUUAGAUAUCACGAAGAACUCCGAUUGCGAAGGCAGUUCACUGGACUGCAACUGACACUGAGGCUCGAAAGUGUGGGUAUCAAACAGGAUUAGAUACCCUAGUAGUC
rnacentral:rRNA from 1 species